rnacentral:rRNA from 1 species
UAAUACGUAGGAUCCGAGCGUUGUCCGGAGUUACUGGGUAGUAAAGGGUGCGUAGGCUGUUCUGUGCGUCAGAGGUGAAAUCCACGGGCUUAACUCGUGGGUGCCUUUGAUACGGCAGGGCUUGAGUACGAGAGAGGUGCGUGGAAUUCCUGGUGUAGCAGUGAAAUGCGUAGAUAUCAGGAGGAACACCGGUGGCGAAGGCGGCGCACUGGCUCGUAACUGACGCUGAGGCACGAAAGCGUGGGGAUCAAACAGGAUUAGAUACCCUGGUAGUCCACGCCUUAAACGAUGCAUGCUUGGUGUUGGUCUCGCAAGAGAUCAGUGCCGUAGUUAACAUGAUAAGCAUGCCACCUGGGGAUACGAUCGCAAGGUUGAAACUCGAAAGGAAUUGACGGGGGCCCGCACAAGCGGUGGAUCAUGUGGUUUAAUUCGAUGCAACGCGAAGAACCUUA